UGGGGAAUAUUGGACAAUGGGGGCAACCCUGAUCCAGCCAUGCCGCGUGCGUGAAGAAGGCCUUAGGGUUGUAAAGCGCUUUCAGCGGGGACGAUGAUGACGGUACCCGCAGAAGAAGCCCCGGCUAACUCCGUGCCAGCAGCCGCGGUAAUACGGAGGGGGCAAGCGUUGUUCGGAAUUACUGGGCGUAAAGGGCGCGUAGGCGGCACAUCAAGUCAGAGGUGAAAGCCCCGGGCUCAACCUGGGAAUUGCCUUUGAAACUGAUGAGCUAGAGUCCGGAAGAGGAUAGCGGAAUUCCCAGUGUAGAGGUGAAAUUCGUAGAUAUUGGGAAGAACACCAGUGGCGAAGGCGGCUAUCUGGUCCGGUACUGACGCUGAGGCGCGAAAGCGUGGGGAGCAAACAGGAUUAGAUACCCCCGUAGUCC
rnacentral:rRNA from 1 species